UUCUUUUUUCUCUCUCUCUCUCCUCACCACCAAAUUCCAUCCUUCUGGUGCAAGCAUUCUUGAUUUCGCCCUAUUAAUAUGGAAGGGCAAUUUUCGCAUCACCACCACCAUCACCAGCACCUUCUUCAACAGCAGCAGCAGCUUCGACCGCAGCCGCUGCCACAGCAACAGCAGCAGCAAAGUGUCAGCAUCGAAACCGGCAGCGACAGGUUCCCGCAAUGGAGCGUCCAGGAGACGAAGGAGUUCUUGAUGAUACGGGCCGACCUCGACCGGCGCUUCAUGGAGACGAAGCGAAACAAGCAACUGUGGGAGGUCAUAUCGACCGGGAUGAGGGACAAGGGCUUCAACCGGAGCGCCGAGCAGUGCAAGUGCAAGUGGAAGAACCUCGUCACUCGAUAUAAGGGUUGCGAGACGAUGGAACCAGAAGCCAUGAGGCAACAGUUCCCGUAUUACAAUGAGAUGCAAGCGAUUUUCGAAGCGAGGAUGCAAAGAAUGCUGUGGGCCGAAACAGAAGGAGGUGGAGGUGCAGGAAGCACCUCAAAGAGCAAGAAAGCAUCUUCUUCCCAGUUGUCUUCUGAAGAUGAUGGCGAUGAUGAGGACAGUGAGGGUGAGAAGGGAAAGAAGAAAAAGAAGGCCAAGGGCAACGCUGGCACGAGCAACAGCAGCGGCGGGAGCAGUAGCGAAGUAAGGAAGAUAUUGGAGGAGUUCAUGAAGCAACAGGUACGGAUGGAGGCGGACUGGAGGGAGGCGUAUGAGGCGCGGGAGAACGAGAGAAGGGUGAAGGAGAUGGAGUGGAGGCAGACAAUGGAGUCUCUAGAGAAUGAGAGGAUAAUGAUGGACAGGAGGUGGAGAGAGAGGGAAGAGCAGAGGAGGAUGAGAGAGGAGGCUAGGGCUGAGAAGAGAGACGCUCUUAUCACAGCACUUCUCAACAAGCUUAGAAGAGAAGAUCACAAUAUGUAACUCUCUCUCUCUCUCUCUCCUCCCUCUUCCUAAUUACGGAGAUAAUGAUGAAGAAGAAGCUUCCUCACGAGCAUAUCAUGAGAACUCCAUGUUGAAGAUCGAAUUUGGCCUCCAAUUUUGAGACAACACAAGCAUUUGGGUAUGAUAACAAGUAGAUAGCUCAUGUUAUGUGUUUGCUGACUUCUGGCAUCUUAUGCUGAUAAUGGAAACAACCCCUUUAUGGACUUAGAAGCUACGAAUCUUGAAUAUGUCAUUGGGGAUCUCUCGUUCUAGAUAAUCACUCUCCUGAUUUUUGGUGUCAUUACAAUUUUGCCUACUUUUCCACGCAAUUAAAUCCCUCUGUCACAACCGUUGUUAGCAACCUCAAACAACUGACAUGGCAUGUUUGGAUUGCCCACGGUGCCAACGAUGCCACAUUAUCGAGAUAAGUGUUUACCACCCUUAUCAUGGGGGGAUUGAACUAGGGUUCGCCGUUUUCACUAGUGUUCAGUGAUUCAAUAUGAGUUGCCAAGUCUUGAUGAUGGCUGGGUAGCUACGGUUGAGCUAGGGCUAGCCAUGUGGAAUCGUCAUGGUGUUAACGAGAGGUCACAUUGGUGAAGUUAAAAAUAAAAAUUGAAUUGAGCUAGGGUUUGCUACCCCAACUAGUACUAUCCAACGACUCAAUGCGAGUCAUCAACUCUCUCGGGGGCUGGGAAUCCAAUACGGAAACGCAUCACCUAGCUGCUGCUCCUUUUCUCUUAUCUCUAAUAAAAAGAAAAACUUCUCUCACGUCUUUUUUUAUUUGACGAUGGCAAGAGCCAGUUGAUCCUUCGUUGAAGAUUAUUUGCGGGACGCAGCUAGGGUUUUGCUAUCCUCUUUAAUGUCCAACGCCUUGCAACACGAGUCAUGAGGCAUCAUCAACCCUCUGCGAACCUAUGACUUCGGCCAAGGUUUGUCAUGUGGGAUUGUCAUUGUGGCAAUUGGACGCUACAUUAGCAAAAUAGGACAAAAGAAGAGGAAGAAUAAAGGGCGGAAGUAGGGAGUCGGUGAGGUGAGUUGAAGUGAGGUCCACUAUCCUUAUCACCGACAAAUGGGAUGGUGGAUCGAUCCUUCAGUGAAAUUUGCAUGAGAAAUUUAGCUGGGGCUUGCUACCCUCAACUAGUCCUCCACCAUUUCCAUUUGACUUUCUUGAGUUUCUCUCUCCCUCUCCCUCUCUCU